GGGGAGAGGAUGCAGUCGAUCACUCCGAAACGCAUCGAGGGCGAUCGAAUGGAGAGCCUGUUUUUGUGAAGCUUCUGCAAGUCUGCAAAAGACACUGAUCAUCUGAGUGUCUUUUUUAGGUAGAUACACAAUAGGUGAUAAGUCUUUACCAGUCUCUGAACAUUUGGUAAAGACUUAAAGCCUGGAAGACUGAGAAGAGCGUGCAAUCAUAAAGAUAAGAGGAUUUGGAAGCUGAGCGACCAGGACAGCAGAUCUGGUGAUGCUGUAGCAGCACGGAAUGGUUUGUGGGUUAAAUUGAGAUGCAGGCCAUACUGUGCUGCAGCAGGAAAACCAGAAUUUACAACCUAGAUGUCACUGUAGACAUUCAAACCUGUUACCUUUUUCACUGUUGACAAUCAUCUGCAUAUACAGUAGUCUCCACAAUCUGAAUUGAUACCACACAGAGUUGUUCCUGAUUACAAAAGUGGUCACCCUCAUCUUCUGGUCGUUUUACUGUAGCAGCACGUAAAUAUUGGAGUUAAGACAUUUGCUGAAGCCUCCAAUAUUGAUCGUGCUGCUGUAGCAAAGCUGACCACUUGCAUCCAGUGCAGUUAACGGUGGCUUUUCUCACAGGUAUGUAUUUUACUCACCAAUUGUAUUUGACUGUUAAAACACGCAAAGGUCUUAUUCUUUACGUUUCACUGUUCUGUCUGUGCACUUUCAAAAUAAAAAAAAUUAAAUCGGA